UUUCGGUAGAAUUCUUAGUGGCGGACGGGUGAGUAACGCGUGAGUAACCUGCCUUGGAGUGGGGAAUAACAGCCGGAAACGGCUGCUAAUACCGCAUGAUGUAUCUGGAUCGCAUGGUUCUGGAUACCAAAGAUUUAUCGCUCUGAGAUGGACUCGCGUCUGAUUAGCUAGUUGGUGAGGUAAUGGCUCACCAAGGCGACGAUCAGUAGCCGGACUGAGAGGUUGGCCGGCCACAUUGGGACUGAGACACGGCCCAGACUCC
rnacentral:rRNA from 1 species